rnacentral:rRNA from 1 species
AAACUUGAGUGCAGAAGAGGACAGUGGAACUCCAUGUGUAGCGGUGAAAUGCGUAGAUAUAUGGAAGAACACCAGUGGCGAAGGCGGCUGUCUGGUCUGUAACUGACGCUGAGGCUCGAAAGCAUGGGUAGCGAACAGGAUUAGAUACCCUGGUAGUCCAUGCCGUAAACGAUGAAUGCUAGGUGUUGGAGGGUUUCCGCCCUUCAGUGCCGCAGCUAACGCAUUAAGCAUUCCGCCUGGGGAGUACGACCGCAAGGUUGAAACUCAAAGGAAUUGACGGGGGCCCGCACAAGCGGUGGAGCAUGUGGUUUAAUUCGAAGCAACGCGAAGAACCUUACCAGGUCUUGACAUCUUUUGAUCACCUGAGAGAUCAGGUUUCCCCUUCGGGGGCAAAAUGACAGGUGGUGCAUGGUUGUCGUCAGCUCGUGUCGUGAGAUGUUGGGUUAAGUCCCGCAACGAGCGCAACCCUUAUGACUAGUUGCCAGCAUUUAGUUGGGCACUCUAGUAAGACUGCCGGUGACAAACCGGAGGAAGGUGGGGAUGACGUCAAAUCAUCAUGCCCCUUAUGACCUGGGCUACACACGUGCUACAAUGGAUGGUACAACGAGUUGCGAGACCGCGAGGUCAAGCUAAUCUCUUAAAGCCAUUCUCAGUUCGGACUGUAGGCUGCAACUCGCCUACACGAAGUCGGAAUCGCUAGUAAUCGCGGAUCAGCACGCCGCGGUGAAUACGUUCCCGGGCCUUGUACACACCGCCCGUCACACCAUGAGAGUU